rnacentral:rRNA from 1 species
GACGAACGCGGGCGGCGUGCCUAAUACAUGCAAGUAGAACGCUGAAGGAGGAGCUUGCUUCUCCGGAUGAGUUGCGAACGGGUGAGUAACGCGUAGGUAACCUGCCUGGUAGCGGGGGAUAACUAUUGGAAACGAUAGCUAAUACCGCAUAACAGUAGAUAUUGCAUGAUAUCUGCUUGAAAGGUGCAAUUGCAUCACUACCAGAUGGACCUGCGUUGUAUUAGCUAGUUGGUGGGGUAACGGCUCACCAAGGCGACGAUACAUAGCCGACCUGAGAGGGUGAUCGGCCACACUGGGACUGAGACACGGCCCAGACUCCUACGGGAGGCAGCAGUAGGGAAUCUUCGGCAAUGGACGGAAGUCUGACCGAGCAACGCCGCGUGAGUGAAGAAGGUUUUCGGAUCGUAAAGCUCUGUUGUAAGAGAAGAAACGAAGUGUGAGA